rnacentral:rRNA from 1 species
GAUGAACGCUGGCGGCGUGCCUAAUACAUGCAAGUGGAGCGAAUGGACGAGAAGCUUGCUUCUCUGAUGUUAGCGGCGGACGGGUGAGUAACACGUGGAUAACCUACCUAUAAGACUGGGAUAACUUCGGGAAACCGGAGCUAAUACCGGAUAAUAUUUUGAACCGCAUGGUUCAAAAGUGAAAGACGGUCUUGCUGUCACUUAUAGAUGGAUCCGCGCUGCAUUAGCUAGUUGGUAAGGUAACGGCUUACCAAGGCAACGAUGCAUAGCCGACCUGAGAGGGUGAUCGGCCACACUGGAACUGAGACACGGUCCAGACUCCUACGGGAGGCAGCAGUAGGGAAUCUUCCGCAAUGGGCGAAAGCCUGACGGAGCAACGCCGCGUGAGUGAUGAAGGUCUUCGGAUCGUAAAACUCUGUUAUUAGGGAAGAACAUAUGUGUAAGUAACUGUGCACAUCUUGACGGUACCUAAUCAGAAAGCCACGGCUAACUACGUG